GGGAUUCUAAUACAAAAUUCUUUCAUGCCUAUGCAAAAGAGAGAAGAUGUCAGAACCAUAUCAAGUAUCUCAUCUCUGAAGAUGGGAACAGAAUUCAAAACCAUCAUCACAUCAAAGAAGAGAUUAGAGAUUUCUACCUGAAGUUGAUGGGAAGUGCAGCAGAUACAUUGCCUAUGGUGGACAAAAAUGUGGUUCAGAGAGGACCUACCUUAACACACCAUCAACGAGUUAUGCUAUAUUCAGAGGUCACAGCUGAUGAAGUCAAGAAUGCUCUUUACUCUAUGGAUCCCUCUAAAGCCCCAGGUAUUGAUGGCUUUAAUGUUCAUUUUUUCAAAAGUACUUGGAAUAUUAUUGGAGCAAGUGUCACUGAUGCUUUUAUAGAAUACUUUAGAACUGUAUUCAUGCCUAGAAUUAUAAACAGUACAUAUGUGACUUUGAUACCUAAAAUACCAAAUGCCACAUCAAUUAAGAAUUAUAGGCCCAUAUCAUGUUGCUUUGUGAUAUACAAGAUUAUUUCUAAAGUGUUAACUAACAGAAUGCAAGGUGUUCUAGAUAGCAUUGUUAGUGAAAGUCAAUCUGCUUUUAUCAAAGGGAGAGUGAUCUUUGAUAAUAUCAUUUUAAGCCAUGAACUUGUCAAGAGCUAUGGUAGGAAAGGUGUCUCCCCUAGAUGUAUGCUGAAAAUUGAUUUACAAAAGGUAUAUGACUCUCUUGAAUGGCCUUUCGUGAAAUAUCUUAUGCUUGAAUUGGGCUUUCCUUAUAAGUUUGUGAAUUGGGUGAUGGCAUGUAUCACCACUGCAUCUUAUACUUUCAAUGUUAAUGGUGAUCUGACUAGUCCUUUUCAAGCUAAGAAAGGACUUAGACAAGGAGAUCCAAUCUCUCCCUACCUCUUUGUGAUCUGUAUGGAGUAUUUGAAUAGGUGUCUGAUGCAUCUUACGAAAAACUCUG
rnacentral:lncRNA from 1 species